rnacentral:lncRNA from 1 species
UUUUUUCUUCUUUUUUUUCUUCUUUUUCUACAGAUAGAUUUUUUCCUUUUUCUGCCAACUUUUGAAUUAAAUAUCACAACUAUAGUUACUCAACCCCAAACAACUCCAAACAAGACUCUUUCAACCCUGUGAAUGGGUGAUAAGAUUGUUUUUCAUAUUCAGGCUUGUAAUGAGUUUAAACAAAGAAUGUGAUAAUUGGCUCAAGGGAUUUUCAAACAAAGGAUGAAAUUUUUCGGGGUUGGCUUUUU